rnacentral:misc_RNA from 1 species
GAUGAAGAACGCAGCGAAAUGCGAUACUUGAUGUGAAUUGCAGAAUCCCGUGAACCAUCGAGUCUUUGAACGCAAGUUGCGCCUCAAGCCAUUAGGUUGAGGGCACGUCUGCCUGGGCGUCACAUAUCGUUGCCUGAUGCCAGUUUCCUCGUGAUGGGUGACUGUGCAGGGCGAAUGAUGGCUUCCCGUGAGCAUUGUUGCCUCAUGGUUGGUUGAAAAUUGAGUCCUUGGUAGGGAGCGCCGUGAUAGAUGGUGGUUGAGUGACGAACGAGACCCAAUCAUGUGAGACCCCUACCGAAUUUGGCCUUCAUGACCCACAUGCGUCUUUGGAACGCUCAUGACGAGACCUCAGGUCAGGCGGGGCUACCCGCUGAGUUUAAGCAUAUCAAUAAGCGGAGGA